GCCUGGUUAGCACAGUUGGUAAGAGCGGGGGGCUAAUAAUGCCAAGGUCAAGGGUUUGAUCCCUGUAUGGGCCA